GAUGAACGCUGGCGGCGUGCCUAAUACAUGCAAGUCGAGCGAACAGAUGAGGAGCUUGCUCCUCUGACGUUAGCGGCGGACGGGUGGGUAACACGUGGAUAACCUACCUAUAAGACUGGGAUAACUUCGGGAAACCGGAGCUAAUACCGGAUAAUAUAUUGAACUGCAUGGUUCAAUAGUGAAAGACGGUUUUGCUGUCACUUAUAGAUGGAUCCGCGCCGCAUUAGCUAGUUGGUAAGGUAACGGCUUACCAAGGCAACGAUGCGUAGCCGACCUGAGAGGGUGAUCGGCCACACUGGAACUGAGACACGGUCCAGACUCCUACGGGAGGCAGCAGUAGGGAAUCUUCCGCAAUGGGCGAAAGCCUGACGGAGCAACGCCGCGUGAGUGAUGAAGGUCUUCGGAUCGUAAAACUCUGUUAUUAGGGAAGAACAAAUGUGUAAGUAACUAUGCACGUCUUGACGGUACCUAAUCAGAAAGCCACGGCUAACUACGUG
rnacentral:rRNA from 1 species